UACGUAGGGGGCAAGCGUUGUCCGGAUUUAUUGGGCGUAAAGAGCUCGUAGGCGGCUAUUCGCGUCGGAUGUGAAAGCUCAAGGCUCAACCUUGAGAGGCCAUUCGAUACGGGAUAGCUAGAGGUAGGUAGGGGAGAUCGGAAUUCCCGGUGUAGCGGUGAAAUGCGCAGAUAUCGGGAGGAACACCAAUGGCGAAGGCAGCUCGCUGGGACGGUACUGACGCUGAGACGCGAAAGCGUGGGGAGCAAACAGG
rnacentral:rRNA from 1 species